GAUGAACGCUGGCGGCGUGCCUAAUACAUGCAAGUCGAGCGAACAGACGAGGAGCUUGCUCCUCUGACGUUAGCGGCGGACGGGUGAGUAACACGUGGAUAACCUACCUAUAAGACUGGGGUAACUUCGGGAAACCGGAGCUAAUACCGGAUAAUAUAUUGAACCGCAUGGUUCAAUAGUGAAAGACGGUUUUGCUGUCACUUAUAGAUGGAUCCGCGCCGCAUUAGCUAGUUGGUAAGGUAACGGCUUACCAAGGCAACGAUGCGUAGCCGACCUGAGAGGGUGAUCGGCCACACUGGAACUGAGACACGGUCCAGACUCCUACGGGAGGCAGCAGUAGGGAAUCGUACUCAAUGGGCGAAAGCCUGAAGGAGCAAAGCCGCGUGAGUGAUGAAGGUCUUCGGAUCGGAAAACUCUGUUAUUAGGGAAGAACAAAUGUGUAAGUAACUAUGCACGUCUUGACGGUACCUAAUCAGAAAGCCACGGCUAACUACGUG
rnacentral:rRNA from 1 species